GACGAACGCUGGCGGCGUGCUUAACACAUGCAAGUCGAACGGAAAGGCCCUGCUUUUGUGGGGUGCUCGAUUGGCGAACGGGUGUGUAACACGUGAGUAACCUGCCCUUGUCUUUGUGAUAACUUCACGAAACUGGGGCUAUUAUCGCAUAGGAUCUCCUGCUGCAUGGUGUGGGUUGGAAAGUUUCGGCUGUUCGGGCUGGAUUCGCGGCUUAUGCGCUUGUUUGUCGGGUAGUGGCUUACCAAGGCUUUGAAGGAUAGCCGGCCUGAGAGGGUGGCCGGCCACAUUGGGACUGAGAGACGGACCAGACUCCUACGGGAGGCAGCAGUGGGGAAUAUUGCACAAUGGGCGGAAGCGUGAUGCAGAAACGCCGCGUGCGGGAUGACGGCCUUCGGGUUGUAAACCGCUUUCGCCUGAGACGAAGCGUGAGUGACGGUAAUGGGUAAAGAAGCACCGGCUAACUACGUG
rnacentral:rRNA from 1 species